GCUCAAAAAUGCUUUCGGCUCUUUCCACGUCACAUCGCCGCCGGCCGCCACCAGGAAGAUCGAGGCGGCGCCGCUGCGCCGUGCGCCUGGGGUGAGGGGCGGGGAGGCGACGGGGCCGAGGGCCGCCGUGCGCGCUGGGAGCAGCCUCCGCCUCGGGCCGAUUCGACGCCGGCGCUGCCUCCGCGGCUCGGCCUCGUGCUCUUAUCGCUGCGCCGUAUCGCGGCGGAUGGCGCCUCAGCCGGAGUGCGCCGCUUCGCGCGCGCCUGAGGGUGCUAUGGCGUAGCCACUCGUCGGAAGGAGCCCGGCCGAGGGGCGCUGGAGGGCCCUCGCCCGUGCUGUUCGGCUGUUCCAGUGCUUCAACUGAAGGAAUUUUAUUCGAAGAACAACAUGAUACUCAAUUGAGGGACCCUUCCCUUCCAAGCUAUCAACAGAGUGGCCCUUGCACUGUUCUAUUAUAUGAUUCAGUUUAUCCACAAAGUCAUCCAUGGAAAGAGGAAUGAGCGCAAGUGCAUCAUCAAAAUCAUCUGGACUUAUCUCCAGUUUGUCACAUAUCUCCAAUGUAAGGCCUAAGAAGGCUGCCAGGGAUUUUCUUCUAGCACCUACAAGCUGAGUAACAGCCGGCAAAUUGUCAUUGGGAUUGUUUCUGUUAGCAGCGUGAGAGUGGUGAGCCCCGAGAAAACUGUUCAAGCGAUAAAAUGCCCGAGAAAAUGGGGGCCGGCCCCGGUUGUCCUGUGGAGAACCUGUCUGAUUUGCAUUUGCUGCUUGUUGCUGCCCAAGGUUGUGCUGUGGAGAACCCACCUGAUUUGUGUUUGCUGCUUGUUGCUGGCCCGGGUUAUGCUGGGGAGAACCCGCCUGAUUUGUGUUUGCUGCUUGUUGCUGGCCUGAGUUAUGCUGUGGGGAACCUGCCUGAUUUGUGUUUGCUGCUUGUUGCAGGACCGGGUUAUGCUGGGGAGAACCCGCCUGAUUUGUGUUUGCUGCUUGUUGCUGGCCUAAGUUGUGCUGUGGAGAACCCACCUGAUUUGUAUUUUCUGCUUGUUCAACAUUGCAUAUAACUUUGAGCACCUGCCAUGCCAAAAAACAAUUUAGUAAAGAAGAAACCUCUUAUUCUAAGAACAAGGGUGCAUGUGCGAUAUUUCAACAGCAAUGUUACAUCAAGUAAAAGGAAAAAUGGUCGUGCAUAUUCUACUCAUGAUGUGUACUAAUUAAAAACCAAGGAUUAGAAUUUGCACAAAGUUGCAUCAGCAGUUGUGCUAUGGGAGUUUGAUAUAAUCUGGGGUUUACUGCAUUAAUCAUAUCUGUGAGCAGCUGAACUGAAGUAUUUGUCUCUGUGCUGAAAUUCAUGAUCGUUAUACAAUUGGCAUUGUCCAUUGCCAGUACUGCCAAUGCUUCCCCUGCUGUCUUCUUGAGUUCUUCACUCUCAUUAGCAGCAUCAAAGAAGAUGUCCAUCAAGUCGUUAAUGAAUUCAGCUACGCCAUCAAGUCCAAGGGUAGCUUGAGUGGACGUAUCCAAAGAUAGCUCCGUAAGGAUCUUUGUUGCUGGAACCUUUAGCUUGUCGUACAUGUGGUCCUGUUCCAAGAUUGAGCAAAUAUCGUGCGCUACUAUCCCGUUGCUACAAAUAUCUCGGCGUAUCUUUUCAUUGGUUUCAUCUGUGCCACUGACAAGCAUGCUCACCACUUCCAGUGCCUUCUCAGUUAUUUCCAUGGUGAUACCAUCAUCUCUGAGGAUCUCAUACACUUUAUUUUUGACUGGGGAUAUGAUCUUGGAGAAGAGACCCUUGUAAUCAUAUAUGUGUUUGCAGUUGUCCGGGUUAACUGCAAGCUUGGCAAGAAUCAACAGGCCAUGGAUAAUUAGAGGUUUGCUUUCAGCUCCACUGGUAGUCCUGGAGGAUCGAAGAGUUCUUUGCUGUCUAUUUCUGAUGAUUUCUGCUCUCUGCCGAGCUACCCUUUCCAUUAAUUGCUUAACAAAAAUACAAGAUCCAUUGCUUUCUCCUCCAUUGGCAGCGCUGGCUGACUGAAUAGCCCCCUGCUGGUCAAUUGUGAUGUCAAUAGCUGUCUGAUGGUCAAUGUUGACAUUGGUAGCCGGUGUUGAUAUUUUCGUAAAGUAGGGAUCAAUCAUGGAAGAAAUGGACUCUGUUGCUCCUGAUAUGUCAGCCAGGCGCAAGUUGCUAGCAAGAUGUGCCACAAUUUGUGCGAUGCAUAUUUUUGUCCUCUGAUCAGUGCGGCUCUUUGAGGUAACCAUGUCAAGCAGCCUGGAGACACAGAGCGGUGAGGAUUGUAUCUGGGAUAGUGUUCUUGUUCUAUGGUCCUCUUGGGAUGUCAAUCUAUGCAUCACCAAAACUGCAUCAAUGCGGUCCUGACUGUACUCAGAUUUCAUCAUUUCUGCUGCGAAGGAAGCCAGGUUCCUGUUGAUGGUACCUGCCACCCCAUUUUUUAUGGCCGUGCCCAAGGUUUUGUCCAUAUAUUUGUCAAUCAAUUCUCUCUUGUCCUCAAGUCCAUACUUGAAGCUCACGUGGUUUGCGAGAUCAGAACGAUACAACCUCAGAAACAACCACAAGAUGAACAAUCCACCUUGGAGAAGCACGAGAGCAUAGAACAAGAUGAGUGCACGAAACACAUUGGAAUUGUCAUGGUGUCUCGACAGGAUGGCAAGGAGACGAUAGAUGGAAAGUGAUAUGCAGCCUAACCCUGCGAUCAUUGGAACUGCAAGGACCAAUAUUGCUAAGAAGGCCGUAAAGUAUAUGAAAUCCCUUGCACUUCCAAGUCCCAGCAUGAGAUAGUAAACGAAUUUAGAGCCAGUUGCUCGGCCAGUCAGCGGCCUUCCUCGCCCCCAUUUCGUGUAGUGCUCGGCGCCCAAUUCAAGGAAUGCUGGUGGAACUUGGUUGAAAAAUUCUGCCUCGGGGCUUACAUUUAUGCCCACGACCCUGUUGCUCAUCAGAGGCAAACAACUAAUUACUGGAUCUGUUUGUAGUACGACUAGUCAUCUACAGUCAUAAGAAGAGGGCGAGGAUUGAGGAGGUACGUACCUGGCUGUUUGGAUGAAGACGAUAGCAGUGAUGACCCAGAAAUCAGCCGUCUGUAGAGAAGUGGAGAAACCGCCGAGCAGGACGACGGUCGCCCAGACUAAGGCGAGGGCGCCGAGCCCCGUGGCAAGGAUCUGCAGGAACAUCUCGGAUACCAUGCAGAUGUUAAGCGGCAGCUCCGGCACCUGGUGCAAGGGCGUGUCUCCGCUCGUUGGCCGUUCAAGGUCGAGCCCUCGAGCACCUUGCAGCUGGAGUGCAUCCUUCAAGACCACCACGACUCCAUGCACCAGUUGCACCACCACCCUCGAAGUCAUCUCCAUCCUGCUUGCGGUCUGUUCAACCAAGCAGCUUGGUUCUCCUCUAUCAAGUGUUCCAGUCUUCUAGCUCUAAAUGCUGUCUGGGAAUGCAAGCGCAUACAUAUAUCCUAGAAUCACAGAGACAACCACCAGGUAUUAACGCGUACGAAUUUCAUAUACCACCUCUUGUCUCCUUGACCAGAUUCUAGGACUUGCUGCGUGUUAGUACUAUUCUAUAUAGCCAACUUGGAAGUAAAAGUUAGUAUGUGCAACGGCCACUAUGCUAUCUUAAUCAUGGGUACCCACGACCACGUGCACGACCUCGAUGCACAUCAACCGAUCCGAAUCAUAUUGUAGCUGGUAGAGCAUGAUUAUCGUCGAAUGCUUUAGGAUCAUCUUCCCAAGUCACCACAUUAAUAUUUAUCCUCUCGGACAAGAUCUUGACAGGAUCACCCGCCCCUGCUUCGUCUCCCCGAUGCGACUUGGCGGCCACCCCCACCGGCCACCGCCACAACAAUGGCGGAGCCAAGAUUGGCUGACUGACCCGGGCGAGAAACUAAGGGCGAAAAAUAAUCCCCCAAAAAAACUAGUUUCAUGGCAAUACAAAAGCAAUGGUUUGAUGCACUUGAUAGGUUGUCUCCUAUGCAGGCCACUGUACUUGCCGUUUCAGUGUGGCAUAUCUGGGAAGCUCGCAACACUGCUCGUAAUGGUGAUGACCAUGUGCAGCCUACCUGCGUUGCUAUGAAAAUUCUUGCCUAUGUGGACCUCAUUCGACAACACUGUUAUGACCCGGACAUUCAGCACAGGCGUGACAAUAUUUGUUUCCCCGAUCGAUGGUCUCCGCCGUCGCCAGGUACAAUUUUGAUUAAUUUUGAUGCUGCUGUUUUUCCUGGUCUACAGAAGGUUGGAGUGGGCAUUGUCAUUCGAGACCAUCGUGGAGCUUGCCUAGUGGCGUGCAGCCAACCUUUAUUAGGAACAGCAACACCGGAGCUUGCUGAAGCAUGGGCAUUACGAAGUGCAGUCUCACUUGCUUCUGCUGAAGGCUUUUCAUCUGUGAUUUUUGCUUCAGACUGCUUGUCCUUGGUGCAACGUAUAAAUUCUUGGUGUGUCGACAGAUCGGUUGUGGGUGCUGUGGUUGCGGAUGUCAAGUUGCUGCUGGAGCCUUUCUCCUCGGCUUCCUUUCGUCAUGUCAAGCGGACUUUGAACAACUCGGCGCAUACCCUAGCUAGGUCUUGUGAACGUGCUGUAUCUUGUUGUAUUUUUCAUUCUGUUUUUGGAUCAACUGUGGGCAGUUGAGAGUUGCCCUACCUUAUAAACCACCGCAAACCCACCGCUGCCAAUUUGACGGUUCUCAGAGAAACCAUCUGUGGCAAGGCCUUUGGCUGUUCGUUUUCGUGAGAUAGCAUGUGCUCAAAGUCA